rnacentral:lncRNA from 1 species
CAUUUAUAAAAAUGACCGAUUGACCGUAGAGCAAGUGACAAAGGGCUUGAUGGUUGGUACCCGAGACCCAAGUUCGAAUGCUAGUUGAUUCACAUUUCUAGCUAACUUUUAUUUCUAAAUAAAAAAAAAUGAAGCGGGUAGUGUGCUACCUAUCUCUCCAAAAAAAAAAAAAAAAAAAAAAUUAUAAAAAUAAUGGAGAUUUGAAGUGAG